UGACCACCCGGUUUUUUCUCCGGGGCAAGGCCAUACGGACAGCCGGGUCAACUGCCGA
rfam:Butyricicoccus pullicaecorum 1.2 genomic scaffold acBRa-supercont1.1, whole genome shotgun sequence.